UACGGAGGGGGCUAGCGUUGUUCGGAAUUACUGGGCGUAAAGCGCACGUAGGCGGCUUUGUAAGUUAGAGGUGAAAGCCCAGGGCUUAACCCUGGAAUUGCCUUUAAGACUGCAUCGCUCGAAUUGUGGAGAGGUGAGUGGAAUUCCGAGUGUAGAGGUGAAAUCGUAGAUAUUCGGAAGAACACCAGUGGCGAAGGCGACUCACUGGACACAUAUUGACGCUGAGGUGCGAAAGCGUGGGGAGCAAACAGG
rnacentral:rRNA from 1 species